GAAAUGCGAUAAGUAAUGUGAAUUGCAGAAUUCAGUGAAUCAUCGAAUCUUUGAACGCACAUUGCGCCCGCCAGCACUCUGGCGGGCAUGCCUGUCCGAGCGUCAUUUCGACCCUCGAGGCCCCCCAGGGGGCCCCGGUGUUGGGGGUUCACGGCCCUGCGCCGCCCCCGAAAUGCAGUGGCGACCCAGCCGCGACGUCCCCUGCGCAGUAGCUCCACGAGAAACCUCGCACCGGGACGGCGGACGCGGUCACGCCCCCCCAGGCGGUUCGCCGCCGACCACAGCUCACGAGUUGACCUCGGAUCAGGUAGGGAUACCCGCUGAACUUAA
rnacentral:misc_RNA from 1 species